AGAGUUUGAUCAUGGCUCAGGACGAACGCUGGCGGCGUGCCUAAUACAUGCAAGUCGAACGAACUCUGGUAUUGAUUGGUGCUUGCAUCAUGAUUUACAUUUGAGUGAGUGGCGAACUGGUGAGUAACACGUGGGAAACCUGCCCAGAAGCGGGGGAUAACACCUGGAAACAGAUGCUAAUACCGCAUAACAACUUGGACCGCAUGGUCCGAGUUUGAAAGAUGGCUUCGGCUAUCACUUUUGGAUGGUCCCGCGGCGUAUUAGCUAGAUGGUGGGGUAACGGCUCACCAUGGCAAUGAUACGUAGCCGACCUGAGAGGGUAAUCGGCCACAUUGGGACUGAGACACGGCCCAAACUCCUACGGGAGGCAGCAGUAGGGAAUCUUCCACAAUGGACGAAAGUCUGAUGGAGCAACGCCGCGUGAGUGAAGAAGGGUUUCGGCUCGUAAAACUCUGUUGUUAAAGAAGAACAUAUCUGAGAGUAACUGUUCAGGUAUUGACGGUAUUUAACCAGAAAGCCACGGCUAACUACGUGCCAGCAGCCGCGGUAAUACGUAGGUGGCAAGCGUUGUCCGGAUUUAUUGGGCGUAAAGCGAGCGCAGGCGGUUUUUUAAGUCUGAUGUGAAAGCCUUCGGCUCAACCGAAGAAGUGCAUCGGAAACUGGGAAACUUGAGUGCAGAAGAGGACAGUGGAACUCCAUGUGUAGCGGUGAAAUGCGUAGAUAUAUGGAAGAACACCAGUGGCGAAGGCGGCUGUCUGGUCUGUAACUGACGCUGAGGCUCGAAAGUAUGGGUAGCAAACAGGAUUAGAUACCCUGGUAGUCCAUACCGUAAACGAUGAAUACUAAGUGUUGGAGGGUUUCCGCCCUUCAGUGCUGCAGCUAACGCAUUAAGCAUUCCGCCUGGGGAGUACGGCCGCAAGGCUGAAACUCAAAGGAAUUGACGGGGGCCCGCACAAGCGGUGGAGCAUGUGGUUUAAUUCGAAGCUACGCGAAGAACCUUACCAGGUCUUGACAUACUAUGCAAAUCUAAGAGAUUAGACGUUCCCUUCGGGGACAUGGAUACAGGUGGUGCAUGGUUGUCGUCAGCUCGUGUCGUGAGAUGUUGGGUUAAGUCCCGCAACGAGCGCAACCCUUAUUAUCAGUUGCCAGCAUUAAGUUGGGCACUCUGGUGAGACUGCCGGUGACAAACCGGAGGAAGGUGGGGAUGACGUCAAAUCAUCAUGCCCCUUAUGACCUGGGCUACACACGUGCUACAAUGGAUGGUACAACGAGUUGCGAACUCGCGAGAGUAAGCUAAUCUCUUAAAGCCAUUCUCAGUUCGGAUUGUAGGCUGCAACUCGCCUACAUGAAGUCGGAAUCGCUAGUAAUCGCGGAUCAGCAUGCCGCGGUGAAUACGUUCCCGGGCCUUGUACACACCGCCCGUCACACCAUGAGAGUUUGUAACACCCAAAGUCGGUGGGGUAACCUUUUAGGAACCAGCCGCCUAAGGUGGGACAGAUGAUUAGGGUGAAGUCGUAACAAGGUAACC
rnacentral:rRNA from 1 species